GUUUCUCGAGAAGAUGAUUGUUCAGGAGUUCAUUUCAAACACUCGUGUUUAUAAUUACUGAUUGAUGGCUACUGCAAGUAUGGGUUGUUAGAUGAAGCUUUGGAGCUUCUUUCACAUUUUGACAAGAGUUUCUGUAAACCAGAUGCGUUUACUAUUAGGGCUCUAAUUGAUGGUUGUUGCAGAAAAGGAGAAAUGGAAGUGGCUCGAGAAUUCUAUUCGAAUUCAAAGAGAAGGGAAUUUUUCCCGAUUUACUUGGUUUUAUCUAUUUGAUAAAAGGACUUGUUUUGAAGGGAAGAAUAAAUGAAGCCAGUGAAGCAUCGGAGGAUAUGCUUCAAAUACAAUCCAUCAUCGAGCUGAUAGAUAGGACAGGUAGUGGAAUUAAAAACGAAUCAAUUGUAAGUUUUCUGGUGUUUUUAUGUCAACAAAAAAGAAUUGAAGAAGCUUCUGAUGUCCUUUAUGAAGUUGGGUCUGUGGUUUAUCCUUGUAAGAGGUCUUACUGAUCGACAAAUCUAAAGGUGUUAUAUGCUACGGAGGCUCAAAAAAAGGUUGGGUCUUUCACUCCGCAUGUAGUCAGUAAGGAUUCAUCAUCUUAGAAUUUAGAAAAAGUGGAUAAUUUAAAAAAGCAGUGUUGGUCGGAUGACUUUGGGGCUUGUUAUUCUCUCAUUGCAUCACUCUUUAGAAGGGGAGAAAGGAAAAGCUAACAGGGUAGCAAAAGAAAUGCUAUUACAUGCUUAAGUAACUUAUUAUUGGAGAAUUGCACGAUUAGUUAUUCUUUAUCCUCGGAAAGUUUGCACUGGCCUUGUCUCUGCAGAUGCUGCCAAAAGAGGAGUGUGUGAGUGGUAGGGAUGGCAAUGGGGCCGGUAUGAGGCGGUGACCUUGAAUCCCAUCUCCUACCCCGUUCGAAAAACCAAAACCCAUCCCCUACCCGUUUCCCAUAAAAAUGGGGCGGGGAUGGGUAUGGGGAAUCCCCGUAGGGCAUGGAUUUUUCAUGGGUUACCAUAACAUUACGAUAAAUAUUUAAAAUUUUGUAAAUAAUAAUAAUUUAAAAAAUAAUUAUAAUGAUUCAGAAAAUGAUACUAACAUAAGCAGUGCAUUUUGAAAUUUUAAGUUUAUAAUAACCAACUAAAACUGAAAAAUAAAUGAAACAGUUGAUCCACAAUUAAGUACUAUGGUCCCUUUUACUUCUUAGUUCCUCAUUAUUAACCAUCUUCCUCUAUGUUAAUCAUCUCAUCAUGAUCUUUUUCGUUAUCUUCCAAUAAAAUUCCUCGAUCAGAUAUAAUAGGUUAUGGUAUGGGGUGGGACCUUGAAUCCCAUCCCCACCCCAUCCCCGCAUCACUACUUUCGGGGAUUCUCCGUAUCCCGCCCCGUUCCCCGUUUAUACGGGUAAAACCCUAACCCAUAGGGGCGGAUCCCCACGGGGAUGGGUUUGGGUGGGGCAAAUUGCCAUCCCCAGUGAGUGGGUAUCGUCUUCUUGUGGAGUCGCUUGCAAUUCAAUCUACGAGGGGCUACCACCAAUUCCUACCAGGGAUUAUACUGAUGCUGUGAUCGCAGCUUGUGGUGUCGUUAGAGAUAUCUUGCAGACACUUCCUAUUGAAACGAACACUCUUCAACUCAGGCACAUUACCUGUUGAAAAGCUAUGAGGAAGAGUGGCUGAGUGGGUAUUGUCUUCAGCAGGAGCAUUCUCUUCCCAUUCCUAAACUGGAAGCCCGUGCUGAAGUCAUUCGGAAGCCACACUACCUCAAAAGUUUGCUUGAGAAGACGAUAUUCCAGGAGUUCAUGAAUGGUUGAGAAAUAUGAUUCCUGCGCCUCAGCCACAGAUUGAAACUUCUCCUCCUAAUAGCAGCUCUGGUAGAUCUCACGUGCUUCCAGCUGCAGCUUUGUGCAUUUCUCACCUGUCAGGGGUUUACGCGUAGUUGCAAUCUCAACACAGGCAUCUAUGUUGCAUAAUGGUGCAGGAAAAAGACCCGUAGUAAACUGAACCAGAUAGCAAUGCAAAGGUUAUGUGUGUUGCAGCUCCUGCUUCCACGAAUUCGGAUAACCACGUAUUCGGAUAGUCAGAUGGGAGUCACAAUGCCACCAAUGGAAAAUCAGGUGUUAGUGUGAUGGGAAUUAAAAAGUGAACAGAUAAUACACUAGGUGUAGAACAGAUUGUGUUUAAGAAUGGUACAGUUGAUAAUCUAUGCUCUGGAUUGGCAUCAAUAGACGUUAUGAUCCAUCCAUCUCACUGUCCUCGAGGAAAACUAUAACUCCAGAUGGCGCGUCAUUUUCACAAGAACAAUCUGAUAGGAGUCCGGAGUUACCUUCACAAAUGAUACCAGAAGUGAACAACAAAGUAAAAGAGUUAUCAUCAGCUUUUGAUGAGCAAAUUUUGAAGUUUUCCCAACUUACAAAUCCAUCAUAUAUGUUCGUUUAAUUUGUCUAAUGGUUUCAAAACCCCAAUUGUAUUGGCUAUUGUUUCACCUUGGCGAUGCUUGUCGUACGAGUAAUCUAACUGUACAUACGAA